GACGAACGCUGGCGGCGUGCUUAACACAUGCAAGUCGAACGGACAGGCCCUGCUUUUGUGGGGUGCUCGAGUGCCGAACGGGUGAGUAACACGUGAGUAUCCUGCCCUUGACUUUGUGAUAACUCCAGGAAACUGGGGCUCUUACCGGAUAUGAGCUCCUGCUGCACGGUGUUGGUUGGAAAGUUUCGGCGGUUGUGGAUGUACUCGCUGCUUAUCAGCUUGUUUGUGGGGUAGUGGCUUACCAAGGCUUUGACGGGUAGCCGGCCUGAGAGGGUGACCGGCGUCCUGGGGCCUGAGAUACGGCCCAGACUGGUACGGGAGGCAGCAGGGGGGAAUAUUGCAGAAUGGGCGGAAGCCUGAUGCAGAAGCGCCGCGUGCGGGAAGACGGCCUUCGGGGUGUAAACCGCUUUCGCCUGUGACGAAGCGUGAGUGACGGUAAUGGGUAAGGAAGCACCGGCUAACUACGUG
rnacentral:rRNA from 1 species